UCUGCUCAAUGAUUUUUUAAAUUGCUGUGGUAUAUUGACUAUACAAAGGUAUUGUAAUAAGGCUUUAAUUGGGUGCUAAAAGAAUGGACUUUCAAAAAAAUUCUAUCUUAAAUUUAAAAAUUGAAGUUAUUUUUAUUUGUGAAGAAACAAUAAUUUAAAUUAGGGACAAGAAGACCCUAAGAAUUUUUAAAAUAUCAUGUAAAUAUUUUUAUAUAAUAUUUAUUAAUUGGGGCGAUUAAAAAAUAUUAAAAACUUUUCUUUUUAUUAAAAUGAUCCACUAUUAAUGAAUAAAUGAAUAAAAUACUCUAGGGAUAACAGCGUAAUAAUUUUGGAUAGUUCAUAUAGAAAAAAAAGUUUGCGACCUCGAUGUUGGAUUAGGAUUCUAAUUUAAUGAAGAUGUAAAGAAAGAAGUUGUCACCUCAUCCGG
rnacentral:rRNA from 1 species